AGCUCCAAUAGCGUAUAUUAAAGUUGUUGCAGUUAAAAAGCUCGUAGUUGGAUUUCUAGCGGAUGCAACCGGUCUGCUCCGCGAGGAGUGGGACUAGCGUUGUCGUCUGUUAUCCUUGAGAAGAGCUGCCCUGGCAUUCGGUUGUCGGGGUAGGGAUUCUCAUCGUUUACUGUAGAAAAAUUAGAGUGUUCAAAGCAAGCUUAGGCUCUGAAUAUAUUAGCAUGGAAUAAUAAGAUAAG
rnacentral:rRNA from 1 species